rnacentral:lncRNA from 1 species
AAACACUUUGCAUUUAUUAAUUCAAUUCAUCCUUAAAGAAUCCUGCAAAGUAGAUACUAUUUUACAGAAAAGGAGACUGAGGUAAAAAGAGUUAAGUCACUUGUUUAAAAUACAAGGCUAGUAAGUGAUGGGGACACAAUUUCAACCACCUGGUUCUAAACAAAGUCCAUUCAAUGAACUAACACUCUACUGCCUCCUUUUACCUGUGAGAGAUCCUAUCCACUAUCCUGUUUGCCCUGACAUCCUGAAGUCAUUGAUUUACCUUUCUUCCUUUAUGACCUUAUUUACAGCAGCUGGUUCUGGAUUUUACCCAAAUCUGGAUGCAGUAACUGCUUUCUAUAAAAAGUGAGAAGCAGAAAAUCUCUAUAGAUUUAUACAUAAUUACAGGGGUCUAUAUACGGGACAUUGUCACAGGGGAUGUGACAACCAAAGUGAAGAGAGAUGUGAAGAUGUGAGGCUGCUGGCUUUAAAGAGACCAUGAGUAAAGCAAUUAAAAAGGAAAAGUCAACUCUAGAAGCUGGACAAGGCAAGAAAAGGAAACAUCCCCUAAAGCCUUCAAAAGGAACCAGUCUUGCCAACAUCUUGGUUUUAACCUUGUGAGACGCAUUUCACACUUCUGACCUCCAGAAUUGUAAAGAAUAAACUUACAUUGUUUUAAAGCAGGAAGUGUGUAGUUAUGUGUUACAGCAGCAGUGGGAAACUAAUACGUUAUGUUGCUUUCAUCUUUCUUUUUUUUGGUUCAGUUGCUGGCCAACCCUUUUCUAUUAGUAAAGAAUUUAGAGGGAUUGGCUUGUGUAUAUGUGCAUCCACAUGACUGUCCCCCUGCAGUUGGAAAUGCUUUGUCUCUUCUUAAAUACACAUCUUCAAAACACCAAGCAGGGUCUCACCCACGUCAUGCUCUCAUACCAG